AUAAUAAUAUAGGGGUCUUUGAGUUUGGUAAUUGGAAUGAGUACAAUCUAAAUCCAUUAACGAUGAUCCAUUGGAGGACAAGUCUGGUGCUAGCAGCCACAAUAAUCUCAGCUCCAA
rnacentral:ncRNA from 1 species